GACGUAGGGCGCGAGCGUUGUCCGGAUUUAUUGGGCGUAAAGAGCUCGUAGGCGGCUUGUCACGUCGGAUGUGAAAGCCCGAGGCUUAACCUCGGGUCUGCAUUCGAUACGGGCUAGCUAGAGUGUGGUAGGGGAGAUCGGAAUUCCUGGUGUAGCGGUGAAAUGCGCAGAUAUCAGGAGGAACACCAGCGGCGAAGGCGGCGCUCUGGGCCGGUACUGACACUGAGGAGCGAAAGCGUGGGUAGCAAACAGG
rnacentral:rRNA from 1 species